rnacentral:rRNA from 1 species
GAUGAACGCUGACAGAAUGCUUAACACAUGCAAGUCGAUUCAAGUUACCUUCGGGUAAUGAGGAUGGCGGACGGGUGAGUAACGCGUAAGGAACUUGCCUCUUGGUCUGGGACAACUGUUGGAAACGACAGCUAAUACCGGAUAUUAUGAGAUUCUCGCAUGGGAAACUUAUGAAAGCUAUAUGCGCCAAGAGAGAGCCUUGCGUUCCAUUAGCUAGUUGGUGGGGUAAUGGCCCACCAAGGCGACGAUGGAUAGCCGGCCUGAGAGGGUGAACGGCCACAAGGGGACUGAGACACGGCCCUUACUCCUACGGGAGGCAGCAGUGGGGAAUAUUGGACAAUGGGCCACAAGCCUGAUCCAGCAAUUCUGUGUGCACGAUGAAGGUCUUCGGAUUGUAAAGUGCUUUCAGUUGGGAAGAAGAAAGUGACGGUACCAACAGAAGAAGCGACGGCUAAAUACGUGCCAGCAGCCGCGGUAAUACGUAUGUCGCAAGCGUUAUCCGGAUUUAUUGGGCGUAAAGCGCGUCUAGGCGGAAAAAUAAGUCUGAUGUUAAAAUGCGGGGCUCAACUCCGUAUUGCGUUGGAAACUGUUUUUCUAGAGUAUUGGAGAGGUGGGCGGAACUACAAGUGUAGAGGUGAAAUUCGUAGAUAUUUGUAGGAAUGNCGAUGGAGAAGUCAGCUCACUGGACAGAUACUGACGCUGAAGCGCGAAAGCGUGGGGAGCAAACNGGAUUAGAUACCCUGG